rnacentral:rRNA from 1 species
CGUGUAGGCGGCUCAUCAAGUCUGGUGUGAAAACGCAAGGCUUAACCUUGCGGAUGCGCUGGAAACUGGUGGGCUUGAGUUCUUGAGGGGAAGCUGGAAUUCCAGGUGUAGGGGUGAAAUCUGUAGAUAUCUGGAAGAACACCGGUGGCGAAGGCGAGCUUCUAUCAGAGGACUGACGCUGAGGCGCGAAAGCGUGGGGAGCAAACAGGAUUAGAUACCCUGGUAGUCCACGCUGUAAACGAUGUGCACUAGGCGUGGGGCACGUACGUGCUCUGUGCCGUAGUUAACGUGAUAAGUGCACCGCCUGGGGAGUAUGCUCGCAAGGGUGAA